rnacentral:rRNA from 1 species
GUGCCAGCCGCCGCGGUAAUACCGGCAGCCCGAGUGAUGGCCGAUCUUAUUGGGCCUAAAGCGUCCGUAGCUGGCUGCGCAAGUCCGUCGGGAAAUCCACUCGCCCAACGAGUGGGCGUCCGACGGAAACUGCACAGCUUGGGACCGGAAGGCUCAGAGAGUACGUCCGGGGUAGGAGUGAAAUCCCGUAAUCCCGGACGGACUACCGAUGGCGAAAGCACUCUGAGAAGACGGCUUCGACAGUGAGGGACGAAAGCUCGGGUCUCAAACCGGAUUAGAUACCCGAGUAGUCC